rnacentral:rRNA from 1 species
CGGCGGGAAAGACUCCACGGAGGGUGUAAGACCCGUGUGGGCGCGUGUCAAAGCUGUGCGGGCUCGGCCUCUUUUCCCUGAGAGUCGCGUUGCUUGAGCAUGCAGCGCUAAGCAGGUCGUAAACUCGAUCUAAGGCUAAAUAUCUCCACAGAACCGAUAGCGAACAAGUACCGUGAGGGAAAGUUGAAAAGCACUCUGGAGAGAGAGUCAAAAGACCGUGAAACCGCUCAGAGUAUAAGCCCAUGGCAGCUUGGAAGGCAUAUCGCGAGCGGGGCAUCGGUCUUCCUUCGCGGGGAGCCGGUGUUACCUUGCCUCUGUUGUGGCUCGUCAUGGUAGGGGGGUCAAGUCCACAUCCCGCCGUCGUGUGGGGAGUUCUCGGGCGUGUCGUUGCUUUGCGGUUGACCUCGGUUGGCCGUAGGGCUCUUCGCGCUUGGUUCUUCUUUAGACACGGACGUUCAGACUCAGAGGCAAGACGCGAUAACCAGCCCACCACGGCACGUUGUGAGGUCACCCACAGGCUCAACUUUCGAUUGUGGUCCUUGACGCCGAGCAAGCACAAUGCGUGUCGCAGAUGUUCCUAACCGGGCAAUUCUUGUCAGGACAGUGGAACGACACGCGCUCAACAGUCAGGACCGGGCGAUGACAGAGUUCUGGUACGAUCCUCUUGCGACGAGCCGCCUUCUGGCCGAUUUCCGAUGCUCAGGUCUCCCGCAUGUGCCGCGGGAGAUCGCUUUGGCGGUCUGGAUCCUUUAGAGUCCUCUCAGCCGGGCA